GCCGGGAUGGCGGAAUAGGCAGACGCAGCGGACUUAAAAUCCGCCGGAGAAAUCCUUGUGGGUUCGAGUCCCUCUCCCGGCACCA
rnacentral:tRNA from 1 species